AUCCAGCUGACGAGUCUCAAAUAGAGCGAAACGUGAGUUAAACUGGAU
rfam:Schistosoma mattheei strain Denwood, Zambia genome assembly, scaffold: SMTD_contig0000033